UGAUAUCUUCUGCAGACUGGAAAAAAACGCACAUCAAAAUCUAGAAAGACGGGAGCCCAGAGAAGAAAAGUACAGUCCCAGACAGACCUGGAGAUGAUUUAAUUGUAGAUGCCUAGAUGAUGAUAUACCAGCCCCAGGAUAUUUACAUCAGGACAGGUAACAUAUGCAUCAGAAAGUAAGUAUAUUUUUUUUUUAUUUAUUAAUAGUUGUCUGAUAGAUAUUAAAAUGAUUUGAAUAUGUAUUACAGAUAGACGGAAGCCCAGAGAGAAGAAGACGAAAUAACACUCCUAGAGCUGGAGAUGAUUAAUUGUAGAUGCCUAGAUGAUGAUGCCCGAGAAGUUUCAGUGGUACAGCUUGAAGAUGGUUCCAUUGUACAUAGAAGAUGAAGAUGAGUUAGGUUAAACCUUGUUAGUUCAUUGACGUCAUAUGGACACGUUUGGGGGAAUCAGACACCUUUCUGAGUGGUACAUAUAUACAAUAACUAUCUGAUUUCCAUCUACAUGCAGAGUGAAAAAAAAAAUAAAGCAGCCGAGCAGGGAUAGUAGUUCCAAGGAAGAUGGUAACAUAAAUCUUCAACUAACUCUGAGGCUCUGUGAGUCUGCCAUGAAAAAAAUAAAGAAGCAAGAACAGCAGCUCCAAGGAAGAUUAUUACAUUGAUCAUCUUCCAAGUCUGAUGUGUGGCCAUUAAAGAAAUAAUGUCAUUUCUGAGUGGUACAUAUAUACAAUAACUAUCUGAUUUCCAUCUACAUGCAGAGUGAAAAAACAAAAUUAAGCUUCAGGGAUAGCAGUUCCAAGAAAGAUGGUAACAUAGAUCUUCAACUAACUCUGAGGCUCUGCCAUUAAAAAAAUAAAGAAGCAAGGACAACAGCUCCAAGGAAGAUUAUUACAUUGAUCAUCUUCCAAGUCUGAUGUGUGGCCAUUAAAGAAAUAAUGUUAUUUCUGAGUGUUACAUAUAUACAAUAACUAUCUGAUUUCCAUCUACAUGCAGAGUGAAACAAAAAUAAAGCAGCUGAGCAGGGAUAGUAGUUCCAAGGAGGAUGGUAACAUAGAUCUUCAACUAACUUUGAGGCUCUGCGAGUCUGCCAUGAAAAAAAUAAAGAAGAAAGGACAGCAGCUCCAAGGAAGAUUAUUACAUUGAUAAUCUUCCAAGUCUGAUGUUUGGCCAUUAAAGAAAUAAUGUUAUUUCUGAGUGGUACAUAUAUACAAUAACUAUCUGAUUUCCAUCUACAUGCAGAGUGAAAAAACAAAAUUAAGCUUCAGGGAUAGCAGUUCCAAGAAAGAUGGUAACAUAGAUCUUCAACUAACUCUGAGGCUCUGCCAUUAAAAAAAUAAAGAAGCAAGGACAACAGCUCCAAGGAAGAUUAUUACAUUGAUCAUCUUCAAAGUCUGAUGUGUUGCCAUUAAAGAAAUAAUGUUAUUUCUGAGUGGUACAUAUAUACAAUAACUAUCUGAUUUCCAUCUACAUGCAGAGUGAAACAAAAAUAAAGCAGCUGAGCAGGGAUAGUAGUUCCAAGGAAGAUGGUAACAUAGAUCUUCAACUAACUUUGAGGCUCUGCGAGUCUGCCAUGAAAAAAAUAAAGAAGAAAGGACAGCAGCUCCAAGGAAGAUUAUUACAUUGAUAAUCUUCCAAGUCUGAUGUUUGGCCAUUAAAGAAAUAAUGUUAUUUCUGAGUGGUACAUAUAUACAAUAACUAUCUGAUUUCCAUCUACAUGCAGAGUGAAAAAACAAAAUUAAGCUUCAGGGAUAGCAGUUCCAAGAAAGAUGGUAACAUAGAUCUUCAACUAACUCUGAGGCUCUGCCAUUAAAAAAAUAAAGAAGCAAGGACAACAGCUCCAAGGAAGAUUAUUACAUUGAUCAUCUUCAAAGUCUGAUGUGUUGCCAUUAAAGAAAUAAUGUUAUUUCUGAGUGGUACAUAUAUACAAUAACUAUCUGAUUUCCAUCUACAUGCAGAGUGAAAAAAAAUAAAGCAGCUGAGCAGGGAUAGUAGUUCCAAGGAGGAUGGUAACAUAGAUCUUCAACUAACUUUGAGGCUCUGCGAGUCUGCCAUGAAAAAAAUAAAGAAGAAAGGACAGCAGCUCCAAGGAAGAUUAUUACAUUGAUAAUCUUCCAAGUCUGAUGUUUGGCCAUUAAAGAAAUAAUGUUAUUUCUGAGUGGUACAUAUAUACAAUAACUAUCUGAUUUCCAUCUACAUGCAGAGUGAAAAAACAAAAUUAAGCUUCAGGGAUAGCAGUUCCAAGAAAGAUGGUAACAUAGAUCUUCAACUAACUCUGAGGCUCUGCCAUUAAAAAAAUAAAGAAGCAAGGACAACAGCUCCAAGGAAGAUUAUUACAUUGAUCAUCUUCAAAGUCUGAUGUGUUGCCAUUAAAGAAAUAAUAGUGAAAAAAAAUAAAGCAGCUGAGCAGGGAUAGUAGUUCCAAGGAGGAUGGUAACAUAGAUCUUCAACUAACUUUGAGGCUCUGCGAGUCUGCCAUGAAAAAAAUAAAGAAGCAAGGACAGCAGCUCCAAGGAAGAUUAUUACAUUGAUAAUCUUCCAAGUCUGAUGUUUGGCCAUUAAAGAAAUAAUGUUAUUUCUGAGUGGUACAUAUAUACAAUAACUAUCUGAUUUCCAUCUACAUGCAGAGUGAAACAAAAAUAAAGCAGCUGAGCAGGGAUAGUAGUUCCAAGGAAGAUGGUAACAUAGAUCUUCAACUAACUUUGAGGCUCUGUGAGUCUGCCAUGAAAAAAAUAAAGAAGCAAAAACAGCAGCUCCAAGGAAGAUUAUUACAUUGAUCAUCUUCCAAGUCUGAUGUUUGGCCAUUAAAGAAAUAAUGUUAUUUCUGAGUGGUACAUAUAUACAAUAACUAUCUGAUUUCCAUCUACAUGCAGAGUGAAAAAAAAAUGAAGCAGCAUGCAGGGAUAGUAGUUCCAAGGAAGAUGGUAAUAUAGAUCUUCAACUAACUUUGAGGCUCUGCUAGUCUGCCAUGAAAAAAAUAAAGAAGCUAGGACAGCAGCUCCAAGAAAGAUUAUUACAUUGAUAAUCUUCCAAGUCUGAUGUUUGGCCAUUAAAGAAAUAAUGUUAGCAUUAGUUACUGCUUGUCAGUAUGGAUUGUUUAGAAUGGUCAUUUGAGCUGUCUUUUAAGAUGAAGAUUUUGGAUCCUUUUAGUUUGAAAGAUUGUCAGGAACAUGAAGAAACUGAAUCCAUAAUAAACAUGUGUACACAAACAGACAAAAUAACAACAACACUGGUUGAUACAAUUCUAGGAACCGGUGAAGAAGUUAAAAGUUUUACAAUAUACUGAAGACUUGCAAUGGAAAAUCCAGGAAACAGGUCUUUUACGAAACAGUAUGAGAGAUCCAAGAUGAUUGUUGGAUUUACAAUGCUUGGAAAAUACAACCAAAUGAAGACAAAAAAUGCAUUGCAUCAACAAACAAAACAACUACUGGAACGUUGGGGCACCAGUACUGAUUUCUGAUUCUAAAAACAAUUGUUCAAAAUCUUCUACAAGUUUAAGAAGACUGUACAUACAUAUAUAUAUAUAUAU